rnacentral:rRNA from 1 species
UACGGGGGGGGCAAGCGUUGUUCGGAAUUACUGGGCGUAAAGGGUGCGUAGGCGGCUUUCUAAGUCGGAUGUGAAAACUCUGGGCUCAACCCAGAGCCUGCAUCCGAAACUGGAAAGCUAGGGUUCUGGAGGGGAAAGCGGAAUUCCUGGUGUAGCGGUGAAAUGCGUAGAUAUCAGGAGGAACACCGGUGGCGAAGGCGGCUUUCUGGACAGAUACCGACGCUGAGGCACGAAAGCUAGGGGAGCAAACAGG